UACGAAGGGGGCUAGCGUUGCUCGGAAUCACUGGGCGUAAAGGGUGCGUAGGCGGGUUUUUAAGUCAGAGGUGAAAUCCUGGAGCUCAACUCCAGAACUGCCUUUGAUACUGAAAGUCUUGAGUAUGGGAGAGGUGAGUGGAACUGCGAGUGUAGAGGUGAAAUUCGUAGAUAUUCGCAAGAACACCAGUGGCGAAGGCGGCUCACU
rnacentral:rRNA from 1 species